rnacentral:rRNA from 1 species
CUCGAAAGAGUGAACUAGCUAACUGGAAUCACUAGUAUCUCACUAGAGAAAUAGUAAUGGGAAAACACUGAUAUUACCUUACUAAAAGUGCCGUCCAAAUCUGGUGCCAGCAGACGCGGUAAGACCAGAGGCGCAAACGUUAAUCUUCAUAAACAGGCGUAAAGGGUUUGUAGGCUGCUUGUAUGGUUAAUUCAUUUACUUAUGAAUUAAUCAACCAUUCUACAGGCUAGAAUCAAAUAGAGGUAACUUAAAGAAUAAUUAGAGUAGGGAUUAAAUCCAAAGAUCCUAAGGAGAAUACUAAAGGCGAAAGCAUUAUACCAAUACUGAUUGACGCUGAGAAACGAAAGUGAGGGUAGGGAACAGGAUUAGAGACCCUGGUACUCCUCACUGUAAACGAUGAAUGGUAGCUCCUAGUUUUUAAAGCCAGAGGCGAAGUAAACACGAUAACCAUUCCGCCUUGUUAGUAAAACUGCAAAGUUGAAAACAAAAAAAUUUACGGGAUUUGGAGCAAACGAAGUGAAGCAU